AAAGGCCUUUAGAUUUGAAAUAGUGACUCUGGAUGCUGUUCCCACGCACUGGGCUGCUUUGCUCAUCUGUGAUCUUAGUCCUGUCACUGAAAAUAAAGCUUUCUGAAUGGCUGGGACCCAGGAAUGUUGAGGAAUUGAAAUUCCAGGAAUGGCUAAGGGGGGGAACAGCAGACAUGGAGCUGCCACUUCCAGACAGUGCCUUCAAAAUGGUUCUGAACUGAAGGGCUUGGGGAUGGUACAGGUGACACCUCCUUUGGUCUCCAUUGUUGGUUCAAAAUUGGUGUGAAUGGUGCUUCCUCCUUUGUCUGAGAGCUAGUCAACACUAGAAUUGUUACAGUGGCACAGCUGUAGCAAUUGAGCUGCAGCGCUUCUAGUGCAGAGACACUGUUCCGACUGGAGCUUAGCUACCACCACUCAGGGAGGUGGAGUAAUUAAGCCAACGGGAGAGCUUCUUCCACCGACAUAGUGCUGUCCACACCGGGCACUUAGAUCAGUGUAACUUAUGUUGCUCAUGGGGUGUUUUUUUCACACCCUUAAGUCAUUUAAGUUAUACCAAAGUAAGCACUAGUGUGUACAGGCCCUUAGUCUAGGCAGCCUCUUAGGGGACAGAUUUUU